rnacentral:lncRNA from 1 species
AUUCAUCUAGCAUCUGUAAAUUAAAAUAAAACAAUAAGAUAAUAAAGAUAUCAAAACAAUACAAUUAAACCUAACCUUUACACAAGAAAUUUUUCAAAGUCAACCGACAUUCAUUUACGAUAUGUAAAUUAUAAAAAAAAAUAUAAUAGUAACCAUAAAACUUCGAUUUUGAUCCAACUAAUUUUUAUCUGGACGAAAAUUUUGACCCUAAAGAAUGAUUUUGAAUGAAAAUAAAGAAGAUAUAUAUAUAUACACACA